GGGCUCGUAGCUCAGCUGGGAGAGCGCAGCGUUCGCAACGCUGAGGUCAUGGGUUCGAUCCCCACCGGGUCCACCA
rnacentral:tRNA from 1 species